CCGUCUCUGCCAUUCCUCUCUCGUCUCCACCACAAAAAACUUUCCUCCGUGGCCAAUCUCAAAAGACUUUCUUCCUCUUGUAAAAGUUCCUCUGAGAUCUCUUCUUUCUUUAUGCGGCCAAUCUCCUUGUUUUGUCUCUCUAAAUCCCCCCUAUUUCUGUAGAGCUUAAUUGUUUCUGUAAGUCCGACGCAGAUGCAAUGGGAUGUGCGAUAGGUUGGAUUGCGUUUCUGUGAGAGGAGGAAUAACAUGGAAUGAUGAAUACAGGUAUUGAUGAUGUUUUGCUGAAAGAUAUCGGACAAUCCCACCUGAACUAUUUCCUAUGGCCUUUUUAUUUUUUAUGCUGAUGAAUGUAACCAAGGACAAAAGGGAAAGGAUUAAGGAAUGCAAGAAAU
rnacentral:lncRNA from 1 species